GAUGCACUUAUAGGCUCGAGAAAAGUCUGUUUGGAAUACCCGGAGAUAGGAGUUGAUUGAGGAAUUGAUCUAGCGUUCAAUUUACAAAUCCAAAAUUAUCCCCGUGGCCUAGUUCCCACACCCGCCGAACUCCUCUUCCCCCAAGCCCUUGCGCGCCGCUCCACCUUCCGACGCUGCCUCCCUUCCUUCGCCAAACCCUCUCCUCUUCAAAAACCGCCGGCCUCUUUCUCUCAGGCGAGCACCAGCCGAUCCUCUCUCGCGAUUUUUCUCCCCAAAUCCACCGUUGACUCCUUCUUCCCUCUCCCUCUCGCGAGUUCCGUCACCCUCAUCGGUCUCUUCUCCUCACGCGAGCAUCACAGCCACGACUCUCUCUCCCUUGCACAAGCACCACAGACUGCAGCCGCCAGCCUCUCCUCACGCGAGCACCAGAGAUGAACGCCACCGCACUUGAUCGCACGGCGUUGCUUAGGCCGUCGCCCGCCGGAGCCUUCUAAUCCCUCAACCUCUCAUCUACAACUCCGCCAGGUACACCUCUCCUCGGCUCUCUUCCGCAUAGCUCGAUCUUCAGCGGAAGGGGUGGGAAAUCUGAGCCCUAGCUUCGCUGGACUUGGAGCUUGCUUGAAUUGAGGGUGGUCGGCAUUCCAGACGGCAACAGGUAGAUGAGUCAUGGAUGCUUGGAGAGAUGUUGCCUGCCAGUCCUGUGUCAUAUCCGAGGAAUGAUUUUGGUUUUGUUUCUCUUUACUUGCAUUUCGUAUUCGUUGGAUUUGGUGCUAUGGGAACUAACUAUAUUUUGAUACUUGUUUUGUGGACUUUGUAUCUGUGAUAUUUUGUGGACUUUGCAUUUGUGGAUUUUCUUUCCAUUA